AUUGAACGCUGGCGGCAGGCUUAACACAUGCAAGUCGAGCGGGGUGAUGGUGCUUGCACUAUCACUUAGCGGCGGACGGGUGAGUAAUGCUUAGGAAUCUGCCUAUUAGUGGGGGACAACAUUUCGAAAGGAAUGCUAAUACCGCAUACGUCCUACGGGAGAAAGCAGGGGAUCUUCGGACCUUGCGCUAAUAGAUGAGCCUAAGUCGGAUUAGCUAGUUGGUGGGGUAAAGGCCUACCAAGGCGACGAUCUGUAGCGGGUCUGAGAGGAUGAUCCGCCACACUGGGACUGAGACACGGCCCAGACUCCUACUGGAGGCAGCAGUGGGGAAUAUUGGACAAUGGGCGGAAGCCUGAUCCAGCCAUGCCGCGUGUGUGAAGAAGGCCUUAUGGUUGUAAAGCACUUUAAGCGAGGAGGAGGCUACUUUAGUUAAUACCUAGAGAUAGUGGACGUUACUCGCAGAAUAAGCACCGGCUAACUCUGUGCCAGCAGCCGCGGUAAGAC
rnacentral:rRNA from 1 species